rnacentral:tRNA from 1 species
CCCUGGGUAGCUCAGAUGGCAAGAGCGCCAUCCAUGAAAGGUGGGAGCGCGCCGGUUCGAGUCCGGCCCCGGGGC